GUAUGAACUCCAUUAAACUUGCUUGCACUUUUCUUUACUGGAUCUACAUGGAGUCUCUGUCUCCCUCAACUGAAGUAUUUGAGGAAACCAAAAUACAAAAGUAAGUUGAAAAGGGGCUAUAUUGGAAUGAUGCUUUAGCUUUUUUUUAUUUCCUUGAUCUUGUUUAAUUAAUUUGCUGCUUGUGACGAGGAUUGCUUACCGUCCUCUUUGCUAUCAAGCAGGUGAUAUCAAAGAGGCUCUCUGUUUCUUUUCUACCUCAUGCCGAGAGGUCUGCCGAGAAGCAACGGAGGAUACAUUAGCCACGUGCGACCUAUCCGCGGUUCGCAAUAGCCGAAG
rnacentral:lncRNA from 1 species